rnacentral:rRNA from 1 species
GACGAACGCUGGCGGCGUGCUUAACACAUGCAAGUCGAGCGGUAAGGCCCUUUCGGGGUACACGAGCGGCGAACGGGUGAGUAACACGUGGGUGACCUGCCCUCAGCUCUGGGAUAAGCCUGGGAAACUGGGUCUAAUACUGGAUAUGACUCCACGGUGCAUGUCGUGGGGUGGAAAGCCUUGUGCGGCUGAGGAUGGGCCCGCGGCCUAUCAGCUUGUUGGUGGGGUGAGGCCUACCAAGGCGACGACGGGUAGCCGGCCUGAGAGGGCGACCGGCCACACUGGGACUGAGACACGGCCCAGACUCCUACGGGAGGCAGCAGUGGGGAAUCUUGCGCAAUGGGCGAAAGCCUGACGCAGCGACGCCGCGUGAGGGAUGACGGCCUGGUU